GUCUCAGUGGCGUAGUGGUUAGCGCAAAAGCCCCGGUUAGGCGCGAGACGAGGGUUCGAAUCCCGCCUGAGAUG
rnacentral:tRNA from 1 species